CCCCGGUUUGCUCUCGCGUUCCCCGAACCCCCGAUCAAGCAGGUCUCCUUCCCUGCGGUUUGCAGGGGGGUUCGGGGAACGCGAGAGCAAACCGCGGCGAAGCUGGUCUCCUUCCCCGGUUUGCUCUCGCGUUCCCCGAACCCCCGAGCAAGCAGGUCUCCUUCCCUGCGGUUUGCAGGGGGGCUCGGGGAACGCGAGAGCAAACCGCGGCAAAGCUGGUCUCCUUCCCCGGUUUGCUCUCGCGUUCCCCGAACCCCCGAGCAAGCAGGUCUCCUUCCCUGCGGUUUGCAGGGUGGUUCGGGGAACGCGAGAGCAAACCGCGGCGAAGCUGGUCUCCUUCCCCGGUUUGCUCUCGCGCUCCCCGAACCCCCGUGCAAGCAGGUCUCCUUCCCUGCGGUUUGCAGGGGGUUCGGGGAACGCGAGAGCAAACCGCGGCGAAGCUGGUCUCCUUCCCCGGUUUGCUCUCGCGUUCCCCGAACCCCCCUUGAAGCCGCCCAACAGCGCUGCAGUGUGGCCACAUCUAACAUCACUUGCAGCGCUGGUUGCUGUAAGUGUGGCCACUCUGCAGCGCUGGCCCUAUACAGCUGUACUAAUACAGCUGUAACAACCAGCGCUGCAAAAUUGUAGAUGUAGACAUACCCAAAGUUAGACUCAGGACUCACAGUUUGUCAGACCACUCUGUUUUAUUAGCACAGCACUCUGCUAAUAACACCCAGAUAAUGUGAGCACCAUGCAAGACACAAACU